rnacentral:lncRNA from 1 species
AUAUUAUACAAUUACUGUCUUUUGAUGAGGUAAAUGUGUGGUUUUAUUGACUUUUGAAAAACUGAUAUUCACUAAGGCCAACGGCCGAAAGUGAAUAUCAGUUUUUCAAGUCAAUUAAACCACAUAUUUACCGAAACAAAAGACAGUAAAUGUUUUAUUCCAUAUUCCGAGAGAAAUGAAUGUAAUGGAAAAUAUUUACCAAAAACAAUUGUACAUCAAACGUUUUUUACCAAAAUUAUACACGUAAAAGCACGCGACGUUUUGCGCGGUGAAUAUCCUUUUCCGCAGGUGAAUAUGCUUUUUUAUUCAAAAUCCCAUUCAUAUAGAAAAACCUAC